rnacentral:rRNA from 1 species
UACGGCGGCCAUAGCGUUGGGGAAACGCCCGGCUCCAUUCCGAACCCGGAAGCUAAGCCCAACAGCGCCGAUGGUACUGCGAGGGGGACCUCGUGGGAGAGUAGGACGCCGCCGGAC